GUAACAUGUCAAACAUUUGUCAAACAUGGACGAUAGUGGAAGGAGAUCGAGAGAUGAUCCAACUUUUAAAGCUGGGCAAAAACACUAUUGCUCAAAGAUUCACAUGAGAAAGCUGUUCGGAGAUGAUUCGAAACGUUUUGACAAAUUUAGUUUGUCAGUGGCUAUACCUCUGAUGGGGAAAUACUCUUGGAUUACUCAAAAAAUAUAAUUACAGAGGAAACAAUGAAACUUUUGUUUGAGCUGGCUGAAAGUAGAAAUGUUCUGGCGGCUCGGGAAAGGUUAUUUUCUUGUGAAAAGAUAAAUUUUACUGAGGUAACGAUAUAUAACCAUACCAUAUAGCUACAUCGUGUUUCAAAAACGUAAACCCUUUAUCAUCCUGUAUCAAGCCUCUUUAUAAAUACCUAUAAUUUUAUGCACUAUGACAGGUUGAAGAUUAUAAUGUUACAAACAUUAUAUAAUCUUCAACGUGAGAAAACAUCGCCUUUUUUAAAUGGAUCAAAACCUCUAUAAUGGCUAAUUAAUAUCCCGUAACACAAAACACUUCAAAGUAUUUUUUUGUAUAUCAAUAGAUUUAAUCUAUUUUCUAUGUUCUAAUGUGUAGAAAAGAGCAGUUCUUCAGGUUGCUCUUCGUAAUCGUUCCAACACACCCAUUUUUGUUGAUAGUAAAAAUGUAUGUAUAGAACUUUGAAUAUACAUUCACCCAUAUCACCUCGAAACGAAAUUUGAAUAUACGUACCGCUUUUAUAGAUUAUCGGCGGCUGCCUUUAAGUAUUAAAUUAAUAUAUAAUCAUAAAUUAAUAUUGUGUUUCUGUGUUUUCUAGCCCGGUUUAUAUGUUAUUUUUAGGAAAGGUGUGCAACUUUUU